rnacentral:rRNA from 1 species
CAGUCGCCGCGGUAAUACGGAGGGGGCUAGCGUUGUUCGGAAUUACUGGGCGUAAAGCGCACGUAGGCGGCUUGGUAAGUUAGAGGUGAAAGCCCGGAGCUCAACUCCGGAAUUGCCUUUAAGACUGCCGAGCUAGUAGGUGAGAGAGGUAAGUGGAAUUCCGAGUGUAGAGGUGAAAUUCGUAGAUAUCGGAAGGAACACCUGUGGCGAAAGCGGCUCACUGGACCAUAACUGACGCUGAGGCGCGAAAGCUAGGGGAGCAAACAGGAUUAGAUACCCGCGUAGUCCCUGUCUCUUAUAC